rnacentral:rRNA from 1 species
CGCGUAGGUGGUAGUGAAAGUUUAUGGUGGAAUCUUAGGGCUUAACCCUAAACUGCCUUGGAAACUUCAUUACUUGAGUCAGUGAGGGGAGGGUAGAAUUCCUGGUGUAGCGGUGAAAUGCGUAGAUAUCAGGAGGAAGGCCGGUGGCGAAGGCGGCCCUCUGGCGCUGAACUGACGCUGAGGCGCGAAAGCGUGGGUAGCAAACAGGAUUAGAUACCCUGGUAGUCCACGCCCUAAACGGUGGGUACUAGGUGUAGGGCUCGUAAGGGUUCUGUGCCGAAGGGAAACCAUUAAGUACCCCGCCUGGGGAGUACGGCCGCAAGGUUGAA